GCGGCGUGCUUAACACAUGCAAGUCGAACGAUGAUGCCAGCUUGCUGGUGGAUUAGUGGCGCUCGGGAGAGUAACACGUGGGUGAUCUGCCCCGAACUUUGGGAUAAGCCUGGGAAACUGGGUCUAAUACCGGAUAGUACCUUCCCUUGCUUUGGGGUUGGAGGAAAGCUCCGGCGGUUUGGGAUGGGCCCGCGGCCUAUCAGCUUGUUGGUGGGGUAAUGUUUCUACCAAGGCGACGACGGGUAGCCGGCCUGAGAGGGCGACCGGC
rnacentral:rRNA from 1 species